UAACAUCGGCUUGAAAGUCGAGCGAUGGCCAGUAAAGUGGUUGGACUGUGGUUUGGGAUUCUUCUUGGGUGGGUUGCCACGUUUCUAACGCUGCGACUUCUCCAAGCCAGGAGUUGGUCAGAUUUGCCUUGCAGAAAGGCCUAAGGGCUUGGUAGACUGGAUCUUAUCGUGGAGGGUUUAUCUAGUCGAACGGCUUGGUGGACUGGAUCCUUUUGAGGAGGG
rnacentral:lncRNA from 1 species